rnacentral:misc_RNA from 1 species
GUUACACUAGAUUAGAGUUGACAUUUAUAUAUUUAUUCUCAUCCUUAUCUCCUAGGAUAAUAACAACUAUUAGAUAAACUGAAAAUAACAAUCUCUGAAAAUAACAAUCUUAUCCUUCUCCUAGGAUAAUAAAUAAUAGAUAAAAUAAAAAUAACAAUUAUGUUAAAUUGAAAUAUCAAGUAAUAACAGAAAAAAUUAGUCAUUCCUACCCUAGACAUUUCCCAUGGUUAAAUCAUCUAUAUGUCUUGCAUGUAAAGAUGUCGCUUGAUUUGCUAUUCCUAACAAAUUGGAUUAGCUUUUAAUUGAUGCUUUGAAGCUUGCUAAUUUUGGUCAAUUUGGUUAAAUAAUGCUUACAUAUUAAUUUGAAAUAGAUCUUUGAUCUUAAUUUUGAUUUUUAUUUUUGCAAAUUGUUAA